rnacentral:rRNA from 1 species
AUGGUGUCGUGCUAUCAUCAUAGUAUUUGUGUGCGAAAUGCAAAGCCAUGCCUUUUUGAUCUUCCGGACAGAUGCAACGAAAUCCAAAGCAUUGUUGUUGCAAUAGUUUGCUGGCAUCUAUGGGAGGUCCGUAAUGAUCCAAGGAAUUCUCAAAAUAAAGUUUGCCCAGCGCCAGCGACAACUGUUAAGAAGAUACAAGUGUAUCUAGUUACGAUCGCGACGUAUUCUCUGAAGCAGACCCAACCACUAAGGUGUGCAGCCCCCAAGCAGACUCAAAUAUGGGCUCCGCCGCGAGCUGGUGUGGUUUGUGCUAGUACUGAUGCCACGGUCUUCUCUUCCUCUUCGAGCCCGGCGUGUGGUGUGAUGAUUCGGGACCAUACAGGACGUUAUCCGACGGCGUGUCGUAAGUCAUUUGAGGGUAUUACUUCACCGAAGGUUGCUGAAGCACUGGCUCUCCGUAGUGCCGCCACUCUUGCACGAGAGGAAGGUUAUCUUAAUUUGGUUGUCCAGUCUGACUGUUUGCUGUUGAUCGAGAAGGUAAUGUUGGUGCCAGAGAUAUUGUCGCUGAUAUCAAAUCCUUAG